rnacentral:ncRNA from 1 species
GACCCAAAACAUUGUGAGCUAUACCUGACCAGAGUGAAAUCAGAUGAAAGUUUGAUGGAGGUCUAUAGUAAUCCUGGCCUGCAAAGUAGUCAUUUGUUCAACCUGGGUAUAGGGGUGAAAGACUGAUCAAAGCAUUUAAUAGCUAG